AUACUUACCUGGACGGGGUCUAUCGGUGAACAAGAAGGCCGAUGGCCUAGGGUGACUGCUUCCAUUGCACUCGGGAGGAGAGUCCCUCUACCAUCUCCCCAAGUUGGGAGAGUGGACGUUAUAAUUUGUGAUAGCGGGGGAACGCGUUCGCGCGACCCCCA